AAAACCUUUUUGUCAUAGACUGUACAUCACCAACCUUUCAUUUGAAAAUUUGUAAGCCUUUUAUAAUGUAAUUCCUUAUUCAGUUAAAGUACUUUCGUUUAAAGUAUAAGUUUUCUGGUCCCAAUUAGUAUGUUAUAAUGGAGUGUACCUGUACCUCUAAAAGGCAACAGCCAUGUGCAUAUUAUGAAAUACAUAGGGAUAACUGGUAAAAAAUUGCAAGAUAGGAUUGUGCAGCAUACAAUUCAAUUGACAGAACAUCACAUUAAGUCAAAAGUCUAUGACAAAUGUCAGAUCCUCUGGGACAAAGUAGGCCUACAAAUAAUCAAUUAUAUCACACUACAUUUUUGCAGACUUUUUGAAAAAUUCAAUAUUAAGAAACAUAAAAUCAACAAAGUAAUCAAUGUUAAAUAUACACUAAAAGAGCAAUGGAAGGUCUUAAUACAACAAGGACUUUUAUAAAUUUAUUUUUAUUUUAUCAAGUUAUUGUUAUU
rnacentral:lncRNA from 1 species